rnacentral:lncRNA from 1 species
ACCGUAAGUGGCUUUGCAAGCACUCAGGAAACGUACACUCAUAUGCUUAACUCUGGGACUUAUUUUGAACAUAUUUUCAAAAUCAAAAUGACAAGUUAACAUUUAGCCAUGGAAGUGAUCGAAUACAGCUAUCCUCUCAGGUGCAUGUUCGCAAUCACAGUUUUCUUUUUGCAGUGUGAAAUGUGAGUUGGUGAGGAAGAUCAACCUACCGGCCUAGACCAAGACUCAAUGUAGAACCUCCUGAGGUUAUUGGGCCUAUGUUGGUGAGUGCUUUAACAUUCGAUGUUUUCUAUUAGCAGAAAUUAAUCUUUUUGAUAGUGUUGUUGCAUUACUAUACAUACACUGAUAAAAGUCUUUCAUGCUGAUAAAAAAUGAAUAUGGUGUCUCACGAAGGAAACAUUGAUUCAGAAUAAUUUUUUUUUCUCUUGUGUUCUCCAGCUUUUGCCCAUGACUCCCUUUUCAUGCUUGUUAAUGGCAAAUUGUACACAUCUAUUCCAACACAGAGUAUAAUCACUUGUGGAUAACUUUUCUCAGAGUAACCUUUCUAUGGGUAGGGUAACCUUAUUGAGCAUAGAGAAUAGAAUUGGAGAAAUGUCUUUAGGCUUAGUUAUUGUCAGAAACAUCUAUGUAUUCUGUGUACAUAUAAUUGACAUUUAUGAACAAAACUUUUUUUUUUAAAUUUGUACAUACAUACAUAUUCCCUAGUCCGAGCAGUUCAGUGAUGAAGAAGGGGAACCACCAAAACCUGAAGAAGGAGAACCAGCAAAUCAAAGUCGGGAUCCUGCACCUGCUCAGGAGGGAGAGGACAAGGGAGCAUCUGCAGCUCAAGGUGAAAAGCAAUCACAGAGUUAAAAGAAGACACGCUGAAAUGAUGCAGGCUGCUCCUGUGUUGGAAAUUUGUUCAUUAAAGUUCUCCCAAU